AUAUUCUUCUUACUUUCACUGAUAACUCAUUUCUUUAUCUUACUUUACUUUGCACUAUUUUAUAAUAAGUUUAAUAUUUCUUUUCUAAAUUAAGAUAUGUUGGAUUUAUAAUUAAUUUUGUUGAUUUCUAUAUCCUUUGAUUAAUAAGGAAAGACUUAUAUAAUUAUUUUGAAUAUCCUUUAAUUAAUCAGAAAAGUGCUUGUUUAAUUCUGAGAAAAUAUUUUACUUUGCGGAAAUAAUUUCUUAGGAUAGUGUCUAGGAUGACUCAAGCAAUUUAUCUAUUACUUAAAAUCAUAUUUUAUAAUAUCUAUUUAAUAUUCAUCUAUUACUUAAAAUCAUAUUUUAUAAUAUCUAUUUAAUAUUCAGUAUUAUUAAUUUGUCAAUAAUUAAUUAUAUUAUUGUUAAUAUUAUUAUAUUAAUCAUUACUAAAGUAGUAAUAUUAUUAUACAUUGUUAUAUUAUUGUACUGCUAUUAUCAUUAUUAUAUUAACAUUUUUUUAAUAGUUUAAAUAUUAUUGUUAUUGGUAUUUUAUCAUUGUUCCCCAAAAAUUUAAGAAACUACGGCAUAUAAUAUUGAUCCUAAGAUCGUUGAUAAUACUGAUGUUUGUGUUGCUAUGAUUGCUUUCAUUCCAGUCAGUUUGUCAGAAGAUUAUGAUACUGUAGAAUUCAGAAGGAUAUUGUGAUGCAAACUGGAUCUCUGAUUCAGAUGAGACGAAAUUCGCUAGCGGUUAUGUGUUCACCUUAGGUGGUGGUGCAGUAUCAUGAAAAUCAGCUAAGCAAACGAUCAUUGCCAAAUCUACUAUGGAGUUAAAAUUUAUAGCUCUGGAGCUAGCUGGAAUAGAGGCUGAAUGACUAAGAAAUUUCUUAGCAAAUAUCCCUUUUAGAAAGGAUGAUCUAAUGUCUCCUGUAUAUAUACAUUGUGAUUGUCAUGCCACAAUUGCUAUUGUGAAGAAUAAAUCUUACAAUUGUAAGAGUAGACAUAUGAAAAUGAGACAUGAUGUUGUUAAGCAGUCGCUGAGAGAAGGAAUGAUUUCCAUUGAUUAUGUGAAGUCAGAAUUGAAUUUGGCCGAUUCACUGAUUAACUUGUGGAAAGAAAAUUAAUUCUUCAAACCUCGAAAGUGAUAGGGUUAAGGUCGACAUGAUUGUCAAUAAAGAUGGUAACCCAACCUAUGUGAUUGGAGAUCCCCAUAAAGUAGGUUCAUAUGGGUAAUAACAAGUCGAUAUUAACACUGCGCACUUACUGAGAGUGCUUGAACUGUUACUAAAAUUGAGGAAUGAGUUAUUAACUCUUAAUGAAUUCACAGCCCUUAUGGGUGGUGUAUUUAAAGCAGUGUACACUUAAUGAAUUCACCUAUAUGAGAAGUGGAAUGAGGUCGUUCCUAUGAGACUUUGGCCUAAUCUCUAGAGCUUUUAUGAAUAGUAGGUACGCGCAUGACUUAUUGACGCAAAAUCGCAUUGAAUAAUAAAUUUACGGUCAAAAUGUGAUUGAUAAAGUCUCUAACUUACAAUAAGAGUUAUUUGGUUUAUAGAAAUAUUAUAUUUCACCAAUAAUUCGGUAAGUUAAAUUUUAUCAAUCAAAGUUUGGUUCAUAGUCCAAAAAACACCAAAUCUAUUGUAUUUUAUCCAUAAAAAUCCAAUAAGUUUUAAUUCUUUAAUUAUUUAUUUUAAAAAAUAUAUGGGGGAUUGAUAGAUAUUUUUAAAAAUAAAUUAAUUAUGCAAGUAAAUGAAAACUUUGGGACAAAGUUUUAAUUAUGUGGAUCCAUAUAUGCCACAUCAUUAUUCUUGGUGGCCAAGGGAAUUUUGUGGACCAUAAAAUUUCCACGUGAGUUAACAAAAGGCAGCCAACUUUCUUUUCAUUUUUAAGUAUUAUCUUCACUGUCUCUUUUCCCUAUAAAUAGCCAAUGUAUUCCCUUCAAAUGAAAACACCGAUACAUUGAUAUAUUCUUCUUACUUUCAUUGCUAACUCAUUUCUUUAUCUUGCUUUACUUUGCAUUAUUUUAUAAUAAGUUUAAUAUUUUCUUUCUAAAUUAAGAUCUGUUGGAUUUAUAAUUAAUUUUAUUGAUUUUUGUAUCCUUUGAUUAAUAAGGGAAGACUUAUAUAAUUAUUCUAGAUAUCUUCUAAUUAAUUAGGGAAGUGCUUGUUUAAUUCUAGAGAAACAUUUCACUUGACGAAAAUAUUUUCUUAGGACGUGCCUAGCACGACUCAAGUAAUUUAUAUAU